AACGAACGCUGGCGGCAUGCCUAACACAUGCAAGUCGAACGAGACCUUCGGGUCUAUGGGCGCACGGGAGCGUAACGCGAGGGAACCUUCGCGUGUGUGCGGAAUAACUCGCCGCAAGGGGUGAUAAUACCGGACAAUGUCUUCUGACCAAUGAUUUAUCGCCUUUGAUUGGGUGUGCGUUGGAUUAGCUAGUUGGUAGGGUAAAAGCCUACCAAGGCGACGAUCCAUAGCUGGUCUGAGAAGAUGAUCAGCCACACUGGGACUGGGACACGGCCCAGACGCCUACGGGAGGCAGCAGUGGGGACUAUUGGACACUGGGCGAAAGACUGAUCCAGCAAUGCCGCGUGAGUGAUGAAGGCCUUAGGGUCGUAAAGCUCUUUUACAAGGGAUGAUAAUGACAGUACCGGGCGAAUAAGCGACGGCUAACUCCGUG
rnacentral:rRNA from 1 species